rnacentral:lncRNA from 1 species
UGAUUAGGUGUCCGUGUGUUAAUUGUGAAAAUGUGAGAUAUCAUACAACAGAGACUGUUGCUAUGCAUCUUAUGAUGAAUGGAUUCAAACCAGGGUAUACAGUUUGGACUAGCCAUGGUGAGGUUGAAAGUGACACUAUGUUUAAUAACUUUGUUGUCGAUGAAAGUAGUAGAUCUACCGAGCAUAAUUAUUUGCAAGGUUCUAGAAUGUCAAAUAUGGUCGAUGAGAUUGCGGCAGCAAAAGAGGUAGAGAACA